rnacentral:rRNA from 1 species
CCUACGGGUGGCUGCAGUUUCGAAUCCUUCACAAUGGGCGAAAGCCUGAUGGUGCGACGCCGCGUGAGGGAUGAAGGCCUUCGGGUUGUAAACCUCUGUCACUGGGGAAGAAACGCUUCAAGUUAAUAGCUUGAAGCCUGACUUAACCCAGAGAGGAAGCAGUGGCUAACUCUGUGCCAGCAGCCGCGGUAAUACAGAGACUGCAUCCGUUAGCCUGAAGCACUGGGAGGCGGGCGUGCGCAGUAGGUGUGAAAGCCCGGGGCUUAACCUCGGAAUUGCGCCUAAAACUACACGGCUAGAGCAUUGGAGAGGGUAGCGGAAUUCACGGUGUAGCAGUGAAAUGCGUAGAUAUCGUGAGGAACACCAGAGGCGAAGGCGGCUACCUGGACAAUUGCUGACGCUCAGGCACGAAAGCGUGGGGAGCAAAAGGGAUUAGAUACCCUUGUAGUC